UACGAAGGGGGCUAGCGUUGCUCGGAUUGACUGGGCGUAAAGGGCGCGUAGGCGGUUCGUACAGUCAGACGUGAAAUUCCUGGGCUCAACCUGGGGGCUGCGUUUGAUACGUGCGGACUUGAGUGCGGAAGAGGGUCGUGGAAUUCCCAGUGUAGCGGUGAAAUGCGUAGAUAUUGGGAGGAACACCAGUGGCGAAGGCGGCUCACUGGACCGGUACUGACGCUGAGGCGCGAAAGCGUGGGGAGCAAACAGG
rnacentral:rRNA from 1 species